CUUCAAACCAUUUCCAGCAGAGGAGGCCUUCGUGACUCCGAGAGGCGGUGGCCGAUAAAUCGUCGACAUCCUGGAAGAAAAAAGGAUUGACAUAAGGGAUCGAGUAGCAAGGAUAAGGGAUUGAGGUGUAAGAACGUCGAUAUAGUUACAAAGAAGGAUUCACAUAAGGGAUCGAGUAGCAAGGAUAAGGGAUUGAGGUGUAAGAACGUCCAUAGAGUUACAAAGAAGGAUUGACAUAAGGGAUCGAGUAGCAAGAAUAAGGGAUUGAGGUGUAAGAACGUCCAUAGAGUUACAAAGAAGGAUUAACAUAAGGGAUCGAGUACCAACAACAAGGCAUUGAGUUGUAAGAACGUCGAUAGAGUUACAAAGAAGGAUUAACAUAAGGGAUCGAGUAGCAAGGAUAAGGGAUUGAGGUGUAAGAACGUCGAUAGAGUUACAAAGAAGGAUUCACAUAAGGGAUCGAGUAGCAAGGAUAAGGGAUUGAGGUGUAAGAACGUCGAUAGAGUUACAAAGAAGGAUUAACAUAAGGGAUCGAGUAGCAAGAAUAAGGCAUUGAGUUGUAAGAACGUCGAUAGAGUUACAAAGAAGGAUUAACAUAAGGGAUCGAGUAGCAAGAAUAAGGCAUUGAGUUGUAAGAACGUCGAUAGAGUUACAAAGAAGGAUUGGCAUAAGGGAUCGAGUACCAAGAACAAGGCAUUGAGUUGUAAGAACGUCGAUAGAGUUACGAAGAAGGAUUGGCAUAAGGGAUCAAGUACCAAGAAUAAGGCAUUGAGGUGUAAGAACGUCGACAGAGAUACAAAGAAGGAUUGACAUAAGGGAUCGAGUAGCAAGAAUAAGGGAUUGAGGUGUAAGAACGUCGAUAGAGUUACAAAGAAGGAUUCACAUAAGGGAUCGAGUAGCAAGGAUAAGGGAUUGAGGUGUAAGAACGUCAAUAGAGUUACAAAGAAGGAUUGACAUAAGGGAUCGAGUACCAAGAAUAAGGCAUUGAGGUGUAAGAACGUCGAUAUAGUUACAAAGAAGGAUUCACAUAAGGGAUCGAGUAGCAAGAAUAAGGGAUUGAGGUGUAAGAACGUCGAUAGAGUUACAAAGAAGGAUUGACAUAAGGGAUCGAGUAGCAAGAAUAAGGGAUUGAGGUGUAAGAACGUCGACAGAGAUACAAAGAAGGAUUGACAUAAGGGAUCGAGUAGCAAGAAUAAGGGAUUGAGUUGUAAGAACGUCAAUAGAGUUACAAAGAAGGAUUGACAUAAGGGAUCGAGUAGCAAGAAUAAGGGAUUGAGGUGUAAGAACGUCGACAGAGAUACAAAGAAGGAUUGAUAUAAGGGAUCGAGUAGCAAGAAUAAGGGAUUGAGGUGUAAGAACGUCGAUAGAGUUACAAAGAAGGAUUAACAUAAGGGAUCGAGUAGCAAGGAUAAGGGAUUGAGGUGUAAGAACGUCCAUAUAGUUACAAAGAAGGACUGACAUUAAGGAUAUGGCUUCUCUAAUCUAACUUAACCUAACCACCUUAUUUUGUGUGUGGUGCCUGUAGCGACGGUAGGUUUUCUUGAGGGGCAUUGUGGACGGCCCCAGCCCAUUAGUGAUACAGGCUAAUUUUAUUUCUAGUGGCUGCCGUGAUGUAUGACUCUUGCUUGGCCCAUGCUGUCCCCGGUGCUCCUCUUGAACAAAGUUGCUGAAGUUUAGGUUGAUUGAUGAUCCGGACAGCAUGUAGGUAAACUUAGAAAAUCAACGUGUUUCGGUGGGGGACUCGAACCUAGUCCACGCGGGGUCCUCGGGCUCACCACACCCUCACGCUAACCACUCAGCCACCUCCUCACCUUACCUUACCUAACCUUACCAACCCUCCCCUUCCCUUUCCUUCCCUUCCCUUCCCUUCCCUUCCCUUCCCUUCCCUUCCCUAAUCACCCU